rnacentral:rRNA from 1 species
UGGGGAAUAUUGCACAAUGGGCGAAAGCCUGAUGCAGCAACGCCGCGUGAGUGAUGAAGGCCUUCGGGUUGUAAAGCUCUGCCUUUUGGGACGUAUAAGUGACGGUACCAAAGGAGGAAGCCACGGCUAACUACGUGCCAGCAGCCGCGGUAAUACGUAGGUGGCAAGCGUUGUCCGGAUUUACUGGGCGUAAAGGAUGCGUAGGCGGAUUUUUAAGUGAGAUGUGAAAUACCCGGGCUUAACUUGGGUGCUGCAUUUCAAACUGGGAAUCUAGAGUGCGGGAGAGGAGAAUGGAAUUCCUAGUGUAGCGGUGAAAAUGCGUAGAGAUUAGGAAGAACACCAGUGGCGAAAGGCGAUUCUCUGGACCGUAACUGACGCUGAGGCAUGAAAGCGUGGGUAGCAAACAGGAUUAGAUACCCUGGUAGUCCACGCCCGUAAACGAUGAGUACUAGGUGUAGGAGGUAUCGACCCCUUCUGUGCCGCAGUUAACACAAUCAAGUACUCCGCCUGGGGAAGUACGAUCGCAAGAUUAAAACUCAAAGGAAUUGACGGGGUCAUAGC